rnacentral:rRNA from 1 species
GACGAACGCUGGCGGCGUGCUUAACACAUGCAAGUCGAACGGAAAGGCCCUGCUUUUGUGGGGUGCUCGAGUGGCGAACGGGUGAGUAACCCGUGAGUAACCUGUCCUUGACUUUGGGAUAACUUCAGGAAACUGGGGCUAAUACCGGAUAGGAGCUCCUGCUGCUUGGUGGGGGUUGGAUAGUUUCGGCGGUUGGGGGUGGACUCGCGGCUUAUCAGCUUGUUGGAGGGGUAGUGGCUUACCAAGGUUUUGCCGGGUAGCCGGCCUGCGAGGGUGACCGGCCACAUUGGGACUGAGAUGGGGCCCAGACUCCUACGGGAGGGAGAGGUGGGGAAGAUGGCACAAUGGGCGGAGGCCUGAUGCGGCAACGCCGCGUGCGGUAUGACGGCCAUCGGGUUGUAAACCGCUUUCGCCUGUGACGAAGCGUGAGUGACGGUAAUGGGUGAAGAAGCACCGGCUAACUACGUG